rnacentral:rRNA from 1 species
AUUGAACGCUGGCGGCAGGCCUAACACAUGCAAGUCGAGCGGAGCGGCGGACGGGUGAGUAAUGCCUGGGAAUCUGCCUGGUAGUGGGGGAUAACGUCCGGUAACGGGCGCUAAUACUGCAUACUAUCAGAUUAGCCUAGGUCGGAUUAGCUAGUGGGUGGGGUAAAGGCCUACCAAGCCGACGAUCCGUAACUGGUCUGAGAGGAUGAACAGUCACACUGGAACUGAGACACGGUCCAGACUCCUACGGGAGGCAGCAGUGGGGAAUAUUGGACAAUGGGCGAAACCCUGAUCCAGCCAUGCCGCGUGUGUGAAGAAGGUCUUCGGAUUGUAAAGCACUUUAAGUUGGGAGGCGUUACCAACAGAAGAAGCACCGGCUAACUUCGUGCCAGCAGCCGCGGUAAUUC